rnacentral:tRNA from 1 species
GGUCGACUGGUGUAGUGGUUAUCACGUCUCGUUCACACUCUAUUGUGAGCAAAGUUCGAUGAGCCUAGUCUCAUUCCUACCGAGAAGGUGCCAGGUUCGAUCCCUGGGUCGAUCA